rnacentral:rRNA from 1 species
CCUACGGGUGGCUGCAGUGGGGAAUCUUGCACAAUGGGGGCAACCCUGAUGCAGCAACGCCGCGUGAGUGAUGACGGCCUUCGGGUUGUAAAGCUCUGUCUUCAGGGACGAUCAUGCCUGUACCUGAGUAUGAACCCACUGCUACAUACGUGCCAGCAGCCGCCGUAAUACGUAGGUGGCGAGCGUUGUCCGGAUGUACUGGGGGGAAAGGGAGCGGAGGCGGACUUUUAUGUGAGAUGUGAAAUACUCGGGCUCAACUUGAGGGGUGCAUCUCAAACUGGAAGACUAGAGUGCAGGAGAGGAGAAUGGAAUUCCGAGUGUAGCGGUGGAAUGCGUAGAGAUUAGGAAGAACACCAGUGGCGAAGGCGAGUCUCUGGACUGCAACUGACGCUGAGGCUCGAAAGCAUGGGGAGCAAACAGGAUUAGAUACCCCAGUAGUC